UUGGGGGCAAUUCAUAAAUCAUAGCAUACCAAAGAGCAGCAUGUUACAAGGAGGACAUUCUAAUGCAGAGAUAAAGAGACUUGCCCAACCAAGGCCACAGGUUUCCCAAGCAAGGCUUGCUUUGGGCUUUUUCUCUAGCACUCACUCCACACCCAAGACCAGACACAGUACUUGACAAUCAUGGGCAUGUAGUAAUUAUGUGUUAAACAUGUACUGGUUUCUUAAUUGAAGAAUAUGUUGGUAUAUUUCAGAUAGGCUCACAAUCCAGACAUAUCCAUCCAGACACAAUCUAUUCAGAAUGGGUCUGUUGAAAGGCAGAGAGAGAACACAGGACAGAUGAAGAAUCGCUGCCAUGGAUAAUGUUCCUGCCAACUUGGAUGCAAAAGUCCCCACGGAUGGUCCCAGGUUUGGAGUCCGCAGGGUUGGUCUCUCCGAGCAUCACUCGGCCUGUCUUCACCACAUUCAGUCCCUCCCACACCAUGGCAACCACAGGCCCUGACUGCAUGUACUUCUCCAGGCCGGCAAAGAAUGGACGGUCCUUCAGGUCAAUAUAGUGCUCCUUGAGAAGGUCUUCAGAAGCCUGGAUUAAUUUCAUAGCAAUGAGGCGGAAUCCCUUUUGCUUGAAACACUUGAUCUAUCCCACGAGGUUGCGCUGGACUCCAUCAGGCUUGAUGGCAAUGAAGAAUCUGUUUCCUGGAGAGUCCAUCCAUUAUUCCUCUUCUGUAUGGUCAGGAGCCAUUAAGUCAAAGGAUGAAAACACUCUGCUCAUCCCUGAAAAUUCCACAGAGAAUUGGAAGGAGGGAAAAAAACAAGAUUGCAUUGUCUGCACAGAGCUGUUCACAAAUGUUAUAUCAUGGGUUCAGAAUCACAUGCUGGGUAAACCUUGAAGAAAAACCCUGAGAAAUUCCAUAGGAUAUGAAAGCAGGCCAAAAACUUUGUUACUUACAUUUUUCUCUCCCCCCGCCCCCCCUCCCCCCACCAUGAGACCUGCAUAUCAACAACUUUAAAACAGAUAGGGGAGGAUAGUUAGUAUCUCCUGAAGAGCCACCCCUGAUGUCUAGGUCCAUCCAAAUUCAUCCACAGUUCCUUGAGGCUAUUUAUAGCUUCUUAAUCAGGACUUUGGGAUCUUAAAUAAGGCAAAGAUACAAUUUCAGAGAGGUAUUUAAGAUCCAGUAGAAAUUCUAGAAAUGUGCACGUGUCCCUAUUAGUCUGAUCUUAUUCCCAAGGUCAAAUAGGGUGGUGUGCUUUGUGUGCCUUAUUUUUCAUAGCUCAAGAGAGGACAAAUGAAAACCCAGAAUAAAAUAGGUCUGAGUCUGGCUGGAUAGCA
rnacentral:lncRNA from 1 species